rnacentral:rRNA from 1 species
UACAGAGGGUGCGAGCGUUAAUCGGAAUUACUGGGCGUAAAGCGUGCGUAGACGGUUAUUUAAGUCGGGUGUGAAAGCCCCGGGCUCAACCUGGGAAUUGCAUUCGAGACUGAAUAGCUAGGGUACGGUAGAGGGAAGUGGAAUUUCCGGUGUAGCGGUGAAAUGCGUAGAUAUCGGAAAGAACACCAACGGCGAAAGCACUCUGCUGGGCCGACACUGACACUGAGAGAAGAAAGCUAGGGGAGCGAAUGGG